AUAAGUAGUAGUUUAAGAAAAAUAACAUGUUUUGAUCGUGGGGUUAGUUUAAUAGACUCUCUUAUA
rnacentral:tRNA from 1 species